AACGUAGGGGACAAGCGUUAUCCGGAUUUACUGGGCGUAAAGCGCAUGUAGGUGGCCUUUCAAGUUGGACGUGAAAGCUCCCGGCUUAACUGGGAGAGGUCGUUCAAAACUGGGGGGCUUGAGGUUGGAAGAGGAGAGCAGAAUUCCCGGUGUAGUGGUGGAAUGCGUAGAUAUCGGGAGGAAUACCAGUGGCGAAAGCGGCUCUCUGGUUCAAUACUGACACUGAGAUGCGAAAGCGUGGGGAGCGAACGGG
rnacentral:rRNA from 1 species